CUGUCCAAAGCUUUCGUACCUGUGAGCACAGGAAGAUGUUCCAAGAUGUUCUCCAGAAGGAAUCCAGCCUAUACCUGCAUCUUGAAGGCAGCUGCACUCAGCCAAGGGGAGGGCGAGGAGGGCCUGGUGGCGAGAUUGUGGCAGACACCAAAGGAUUUGACCAAAAAUCAGAAACUCCAAAUGGCUUGGAUUUCCCCAAGUAAAGCGACUUGGAAGAGGGAGGACAAAGAUGAGGAAAAUGGAAGGCUGGAUCAAGCUGCAGCAGCCCAUUGGGCAAGAGAUGGAUAAAGGGAAACUCUUUUAAACCCGAGGCACACCCCCAGAAGCUUGUGAGAGUUCCACCCCAGGCGUUUAUGGCCAGGAAGGUGGAGGGAGAAAGAAAGCAAGAUUUGAGAUCAAAAUGGAGAGAAACUCACAUUCUCCCCCAAAUCCCUCUAGAACCACAUUGGAAAUCCACCUCCAUUAAUUUAUGUCAAGGGAAAAGAGGAAAGUGUUGUCUGGAAAUAUCUAGUGCGGCGUCCAAAAAAAAAAAAAAAAAACCACUCCAAUUUUUGUGUCCCAGCUCUUGGAGAGGUUGAUUGGCUUUCAUGCCAAAUAUCCUUCUGAAUUUUCUUCGGGUCUUCAAGACCUGGUUACUUUUUUUCCAUUUAAUUCUUCAUAGCCUGAGUUCCUGAGAGGGCAGAGGGGGAAAAGGAGAGAUUGGCUUCAUGCCACAUAGCCUGCUUGGAUUUUCACUGCAGGUUUUCACAGCCUGUUUAAUUCUCCCAUUUAGUUCUCUCCUUUAGAUCUUCAGGCCUGGUUAAUUGCCUCCUUCGGGUCUUUAUGGCCUGUGUUCUCCAGAGGGCAGAAAGAGAAUUUGAAUGGUAAAUGGGAUAUUUGAAUUGAGCCUUGUAUCCCUGGUGAACUUUCACUGCAGGUCUUUAAGGCCUGUUUAAUUUUCCCACUGCCCUUCGGGUCUUCAUGACCUGAUUGUGUUUCCACUGCAGGUCCUUACCACAUGUGUACUUGAAAGUCAAGAGAAUAUUUGAGAGAGAAAAGUAGGGGCUUCUUGCCGUUUGACACGUUUGAAUUUCCAUGGUGGGUCUUCAAGGCUUGUUUAAUUCUCUCAUUUAAUUAUUGCCUUUCAGGUCUUCACGGCCUGCAAAUUCUCUCCUUUGGGUCUUCAAGGCCUGGGUCCUUAGAAAGCAAAGAGAACAUUUGAGGGGAAAGAGAUGGUCUUCAUGGCCUGUUUGGUCCUCCUAUUUAAUGAUGUCCUGUUGAGUCUUCACAGUCUGCUCAGUACCCCCAGUUAUUCCCUCCUGCAGGUCUUUACGGCCUGAGUAUUUAAAAACAAAAUGUGAUGGUUAGAAGGAGAGAGGGACUUCAGCUCCAUAUAUAUUGUUUGAAGUUCCACUUCCAGUCUUCAAGGCCUGUUUAAUUCUCUCAUUCAGGUCUUCAUGGCCUGUUGAAUUCUCCCUUUCGGGUCUUCACGGCCUGUGUACUCAAAAGUGGAGAAGAACAUUUGAGGGGGAAAAAGGAGAGAUUGGCUUCAUGCCAUUUAUCUUCUUGGAAAAUCCACUACAGGUCUUCAAGGCCAGUUUAAUUCUCCCAUUGAAUUCUUUCCUUUAGGUCUUCAUGGCCUGGGUACUAGAAACCCCAAGAACAGAGGAGAGGAAAAAGGAAAGAUUGACUUCAUGUCUUUCAUCCUGUUUGAACAUCUCCAAGGCCUGGUUAAAUCUCCCAUUGAAUGAAUUAUCCCCUGUUUGGGUCUUCAGGGCCUUUUUAGUUAAUCUCUUUAAUUCUCUGCUUCAGGUCUUCACGGCCUGUUGUGGUCAAAAGCAGAGGGAACAUUUGAGGGGGGAAAAAGGAGAAUUGGCUUCAUGCCAUUAUCGUGUCUGAAUUUCUUCACAGCCAGUUUACUUCUCCCAUUCAAUUCUCUCCUUCGGGUCUUCAGGGCUCUCAUUUAUUCCCCCCUGCAGGUCUUCAAGGCCUGUUUAAUCCUCUCCUUCAGGUCUUUAUGACCUGCAGAGAACAGAGAGAAUAUUUGAUGGGCAAAGGAGACAUUUGACUUAUAUGCCAUGUAUCCUCUAUGAAUUUCCACUGCAGGUCUUCAAGGCCUGUUUAAUUCUCCCACUGUCCUCCGGGUCUUCAUGGCCUGUUUGUCUUUCCACUGCAGGUCUUCACCGCCUGUGUACUCAAAGGCAAAGAGAGUAUUUGAGGGGGAAAAGGAGAGACGGGCUUCAUGCCCUUCAUGCCGUUGGAAUUUCUGUGGCAAGUCUUGAAGACUUGUUGAAUUCUGUCAUUUAAUUCUCUCCCUUCAGGUCUUCAUGGCCUGCAUAAUGCUCUCCAUCAGGUCUUCACGGGCUGUGUACCCAGAAGCAGAGAGACCAUCUGAGGUGGAAAAGGAGAGAUUGGCUUCAUGCCAUUGAUCCUGUCAGAAUUUCCACUGCAGGUCUUCAAGGCCUGUUGACUUCUCCUAUUCAGUUCUCCCCUUUAGGCCUUCAUGGCCUGUUAAAUCCUUUGUUUCAGGUCUUUAUGACCUGUGUUCUCCAGAGACCGGAGAGAGUAUUUGAAGGGCAAAGGAGAGAUUUGACUUAUAUGCCAUGUGCCCACUGCAGGUCUUCAAGGCCUGUUUAAUUCUCCCACCAUCCUCCAGGUCUUCACGGCCUGUUUAUAUUUCCACUGCAGGUGAUCACUGCCUGUGUACUCAAAAGCGAAGAGAAUAAUUGAAGGGGGAAAGGAGAGUGGGCUUCAUGUCCUUCAUUCCAUUGGAAUUUCUAUGGCAAGUCUUCAAGGCUUGUUGAAUUCUUUCAUUUAAGAAUCUCCCUUCAGGUCUUCAUGGCCUACAUAAUGCUCUCCUUCAGGUCUUCAUGGGCUGUGUAGUCAAAAGCAGAGAGAACAUUUGAGGGGGUAAAGGGGAGAUUGACUUCAGGCCAUUUACCCUCUCAGAAUUUCUACUCCAGGUCUUCAAGGCCUGUUUCAUUCCGCAAUUUAAUUCUCCCCUGCAGGUCUUCAUGGCUUGUUCAAUCACUUCCUUCAGGUCUUUAUGACCUGUGGUCUCCAGAGAACAGAGAGAAUAUUUGAGGAAAACAGGAGAGAUUAGCUUCAUGCAAAAUCUCUCAGAUCACCCUCUACCCCAGGCCUUAAUGGCCCUGGCUGUGAGAGAGGAAACAUUUGAGGUGGCAAUAGAGAAGAGCCUCGGGAUAAUUCGUCCCACUACACCUGGAAGAGUUUUCCCUUGAUCCUCUCUCCCUGGCUGCUCAGCCUUCUCAGCGGAAGACAAAGUCCCGCAGGUCCUCUGCAUCAGGGCCAGCGUGGAUGAAACAAGGCUUGAUGUGGGGGACACUCGGCUGCAGAAGAGGAGGAAUGGAAAAUGGGCCACUCUGGUUGGAGAAAAUCAGGCAGCUCUUAAAAGAAACCGUUGGGGGUCCAAGCCACUACUUCCGGUCUUUAUGGCCCAGACUAUUGGAAAGGGAAAAGAAAGUAUUUGCAAUGUGCAAAAACCUCUUUGUUUAAUCUUAACCCUGGAGCCUCCUGGGUUAAGCCCAGCCCAGGGAUAUAUCCUUUCCCAUCUCCCUCAAUUGUUUUCCACAAAAACAAACUGGAUUUGCAACUACCCAAUCAAUGUUC